rnacentral:rRNA from 1 species
GACGAACCACACAAACGUUAUUCGGAAUUACUGGGCUUAAAGGGUGCGUAGGCGGCGCAGAAAGUAGGGUGUGAAAUCCCUCGGCUCAACCGAGGAACUGCGCCCUAAACUACUGUGCUCGAGGGAGGUAGAGGUGAGCGGAACUUAGGGUGGAGCGGUGAAAUGCGUAGAUAUCUGGAGGAACACCGGUGGCGAAGGCGGCAUCCUGGACCGGCAUUGACGCUGAGGCGCGGAAAGCCAGGGGAGCAAACGGG